rnacentral:SRP_RNA from 1 species
AACCGUCCACCACGGCCUUUCCACUCUCCAUCUUCAGUUCCUCUAACGAUCAAUUCGAAACGAUCAAUCAUCCGGGGUAUCAAUCGGUCGGUCAAACCGUUCCCA